GAUCCUGGCUCAGGAUGAACGCUGGCGGCGUGCCUAAUACAUGCAAGUAGAACGCUGAAGGAAGGAGCUUGCUCUUUCCGGAUGAGUUGCGAACGGGUGAGUAACGCGUAGGUAACCUGCCUGGUAGCGGGGGAUAACUAUUGGAAACGAUAGCUAAUACCGCAUAACAGUAGAUGUUGCAUGACAUUUACUUGAAAGGUGCAAAUGCACCACUACCAGAUGGACCUGCGUUGUA
rnacentral:rRNA from 1 species